UGGCCUGAUAUCUCUGUGUACG
rnacentral:miRNA from 1 species